GAAAGACUUUGCGUGUUCUUGUUAGGCAGAAUUAAUAUGGUCAAAAUGACUGUACUAUCAAAAGCACUGUACAGAUUUAAUGCAAUUUCUAUUAAAAUUCCAAUGACAUCCUUCAUAGAAAUAGAAGAAACAGUUAUGAAAUUUAUUUGAAAGAAUAAGAGAACUAAAAUAACCAAAGAAAUCCUUUGUGGGAAACAUGAAACAAGAGGCAUCACAAUACUAGACAUUAAAUUAUAUUACAGAACUAUAGUAACAAAAAUGGCAUGCUAUUGGCACCAAAACAGACAUGAGGACCAAUGGUACAGAAUAGAAGACACGGAGACAAACCCACAUAAAUACAGUUAUCUCAUACUAAACAAAGGCACUAUAAAACAUACACUGGAGAAAAGAUAGCCUCUUCAACAAGUAGUGCUGGGAAAACUGGAAAUCCAUAUGUAGCAAAGUGAAAUUAGACCCCUAUCUCUUAUCCUGCAUAAAACUCAAAUCAAAGUGAUUCAAGGACCUAAGUUUUAGACCAGAGAUUUUGUGCCUAAGAGAAUAAAAAGUAUGCCCAAAUCUUUAUCAUGUAGGCUUAGAAACCGAAUUCCUCAAUAAGACUCUUAAAGCAUAAGAAGCAAAAUCAAGAAUCAAUAAAUGGGAUGGUAUCAAACUAAAAGUUUCUUCACAACAAAGGAGAAAAUCAGUGACAAGAAGAGAGAGCCUCCAGAAUGUGAGAAAAUCUUUGCCACCUGCACCUCAGAUAGAACAGUAAUCUCCAGGACAUAUAAAGAACUCAAAAAACUUAACACCAAAACAAACAAACAAACAAAAACACAACCAGAUAACCCAAUUAAUUGCAUGGGCUCUCUCUCGUCCAGCAAAGAGGUCCACAGAACAGGGUAAAGGAGAGUGUGGCUGCAGAGUCACUAAUCAAGACCUCUGGAGCCCAAGCAGGAAGCAGAUCUGAUUUUAUUGUGCAGUUACCAUGUAUAUAUACUCAGGCAGUAGCUAAACAGAUUACAGGUGGCCACCAAUGCAAUUUCUGCUAACUGUUCUUGCAGUGACCAAUUGAGGAGUGGGCUAUGGAGCAAGUACAGGGACUGCAACACAUGGUCUAAUGCCCAGGGCUGUGCCUAUGGGGUAAGUUGUUUUCCACUCACACGUCUAGCACGGGGGAAUGGUUUGCCACUGAGGCGCCCUUAAAGUAUGUCAUGUAUGGGAAAACUGGAAAUCUAUACAUAGCAAAGUGAAAUUAGAUCCCUAUUUCUCACCCUGCAUAAAACUCAACUCAAAGUGAUUCAAGUGGUUCCAUGCACUUGUCCCCACAAUCAAUAAAUGGGCAAAGAAACUGAACAGACAAUUUACAGAAGAAGAGAUACAAAUAGUCAACAGAUAUAUAAAAAAUGUUCACUAUUUCUAGCAAUUAUAGAAAUGCAAAUUAAAAAUACAUUGAG
rnacentral:lncRNA from 1 species